GGUUAAUAUUCCCGUACUUGGUGUUACUGCGAAGGGGGGACGGAGAAGGCUAUGUUGGCCGGGCGACGGUUGUCCCGGUUUAAGCGUGUAGGUGUGUGUUCCAGGUAAAUCCGGUUCACUUUAACACUGAGGCGUGACGACGAGGCACUACGGUGCUGAAGCAACAAAUGCCCUGCUUCCAGGAAAAGCCUCUAAGCAUCAGGUAACAUCAAAUCGUACCCCAAACCGACACAGGUGGUCAGGUAGAGAAUACCAAGGCGCUUGAGAGAACUCGGGUGAAGGAACUAGGCAAAAUGGUGCCGUAACUUCGGGAGAAGGCACGCUGACACGUAGGUGAAGUGAUUUACUCAUGGAGCUGAAGUCAGUCGAAGAUACCAGCUGGCUGCAACUGUUUAUUAAAAACACAGCACUGUGCAAACACGAAAGUGGACGUAUACGGUGUGACGCCUGCCCGGUGCCGGAAGGUUAAUUGAUGGGGUCAGCGCAAGCGAAGCUCCUGAUCGAAGCCCCGGUAAACGGCGGCCGUAACUAUAACGGUCCUAAGGUAGCGAAAUUCCUUGUCGGGUAAGUUCCGACCUGCACGAAUGGCGUAAUGAUGGCCAGGCUGUCUCCACCCGAGACUCAGUGAAAUUGAACUCGCUGUGAAGAUGCAGUGUACCCGCGGCAAGACGGAAAGACCCCGUGAACCUUUACUAUAGCUUGACACUGAACAUUGAGCCUUGAUGUGUAGGAUAGGUGGGAGGCUUUGAAGUGUGGACGCCAGUCUGCAUGGAGCCGACCUUGAAAUACCACCCUUUAAUGUUUGAUGUUCUAACGUGGACCCGUAAUCCGGGUUGCGGACAGUGUCUGGUGGGUAGUUUGACUGGGGCGGUCUCCUCCUAAAGAGUAACGGAGGAGCACGAAGGUUGGCUAAUCCUGGUCGGACAUCAGGAGGUUAGUGCAAUGGCAUAAGCCAGCUUGACUGCGAGCGUGACGGCGCGAGCAGGUGCGAAAGCAGGUCAUAGUGAUCCGGUGGUUCUGAAUGGAAGGGCCAUCGCUCAACGGAUAAAAGGUACUCCGGGGAUAACAGGCUGAUACCGCCCAAGAGUUCAUAUCGACGGCGGUGUUUGGCACCUCGAUGUCGGCUCAUCACAUCCUGGGGCUGAAGUAGGUCCCAAGGGUAUGGCUGUUCGCCAUUUAAAGUGGUACGCGAGCUGGGUUUAGAACGUCGUGAGACAGUUCGGUCCCUAUCUGCCGUGGGCGCUGGAGAACUGAGGGGGGCUGCUCCUAGUACGAGAGGACCGGAGUGGACGCAUCACUGGUGUUCGGGUUGUCAUGCCAAUGGCACUGCCCGGUAGCUAAAUGCGGAAGAGAUAAGUGCUGAAAGCAUCUAAGCACGAAACUUGCCCCGAGAUGAGUUCUCCCUGAGACUUAGAGUCUCCUGAAGGAACGUUGAAGACGACGACGUUGAUAGGCCGGGUGUGUAAGCGCAGCGAUGCGUUGAGCUAACCGGUACUAAUGAACCGUGAGGCUUAACCUUACA
rnacentral:rRNA from 1 species